rnacentral:rRNA from 1 species
GACCUAUCAGCUUUCGACGGUAGUGUAUUGGACUACCGUGGCAGUGACGGGUAACGGGGAAUUAGGGUUCGAUUCCGGAGAGGGAGCCUGAGAAACGGCUACCACAUCUAAGGAAGGCAGCAGGCGCGCAAAUUACCCAAUCCUGACUCAGGGAGGUAGUGACAAGAAAUAACAACACUGGAAAUUUUAUUUCUAGUGAUUGGAAUGAUGGGAAUUUAAACCCCUUUCAGAGUAACAAUUGGAGGGCAAGUCUGGUGCCAGCAGCCGCGGUAAUUCCAGCUCCAAUAGCGUAUAUUAAAGUUGUUGCAGUUAAAAAGCUCGUAGUUGGAUGUCUGCUGGAAGCAAUCAGUCCGCCCUAUUUGUGGGGUGCGCACUUGAUGAAUUCUGGCAUUUUUGUCCCAAUAUUAUGAUGUAGAAUGUGGGACACAGAGUGUUAUUGGGCGAAAGUUCAAUAGCAUGUCUGUGUUCCGAUUCUUAUUAUAUUGGAAUACUGUUACUUUGAGAAAAUUAGAGUGUUUGAAGCAGGCUUUGAAUUGCCCUGAAUACUGCAGC